rnacentral:lncRNA from 1 species
CUUAGAUAGAAAACUAUUUAACUCCAAAAAGGAGCAAAAGCAAGAAAUGAAAAAGAUUGCCUGUCUUGUUUGCUUUCAGAGAUUUCUUAACUUUGUUCAGUUAAAUCAGGGUUUCUCAACGGGGCGGUAGCGACCCCCCAGGGAGAAGAGCGAGGCAAAGUCCUUGUAUGUGAAAGUUUCACCAUGAACGUCGUGUUAUUGACUUGGUUACAUAUUUACAAGAGGGGUGUUCCCCUGAAAGCACCGAGCGUCCAGCAUCCAGACACACAGUAGCUGUGUCUCACACACACAGUAGCUGUGUCUCACACACACAGUAGCUGUGUCUCAAUUCAGGGGCUGUAGACCGAGCAGCCACAACAGGACUGUCCGAUUUCGGAGACUCAAUGCGCCCAGAGAAGUUAUUUUCUGACGCAGCCGUAGCGACAAAUGGAUAUACUUUUAAAUGGAGAAGGAGACAGGCAGAAGAGAGGAGAGCAGGGAGAGGAUGGACAGACUCUUCUCUCUGCUGGAGAAACUUGUUGACAAAUGAAAUGAGAAGAGAGGGACAGAGGAGGAGAUACACAGACCGAUGGAUGUUCAUUUGUUUGUCUGGAGGAUGCAGGUACUUGAGGGAUCAAAGAUGCCAGACGGUCAAAAACACUCAUUCUGUUAGGAAAUCUCGGAACGGAGACUGGAAAACAACGCGUCAAUUUUUCCAAAGCUGUCAGCUUUCAGGGAGUUCAUCAUAG